CAAUAGCGUAUACUAACGUUGUUGCAGUUAAAAGCUCGUAGUUGGAUUUCUGUAUUGGUUAGCCGGCCGGCGCAUUCGCGUUGCAGCUUGGUUUAAUCGAUGCAUCUUGUCACAAUAGACACUGGCAUUCAUUUGUUGGUGUUCUGGACUGACUCGUUUACUUUGAGAAAAUUAGAGUGUUCAAAGCAGGCCUAUGCUCUGAAUAGGUUAGCAUGGAAUAAUAGAAUAGGACUUUGGUUCUAUUUUGUUGGUUUCUAGGACCGAAGUAAUGAUUAAUAGGGACAGUUGGGGGCAUUUUUAUUCCAUUGUCAGAGGUGAAAUUCUUGGAUUAACGGAAGAAAACUACUGCGAAAGCAUCUGCCAAGGAUGUUUUCAUUGAUCAAGAACGAAAGUUAGGGGAUCGAAGAUGAUUAGAUACCAU
rnacentral:rRNA from 1 species